ensembl:lncRNA
CGGCGAGCUCCUGCUCAGAAGGAGCCCGAUACGCCCAGGGACUGCAAAAUGCCGAAAUUUGGAAACCUGGCUGCGUAUUCUCAAGAAAUCUGGGGUUGCUGUGGAGGAGGAAUCGAGCUGAAUUUCCAGACCUCAAGAUGCUCCUGGGAUUUCCCAUAGCCAUUGGAUGUGAUUGCUCUGUGGAAGGAGCUGGGAGCACUUUGGCCCUUGUGAGGUUGACCAUCAACACCAAGAUCCCCAAAGAGUUUGCUGGCGUUGGACUGGCUUGUCUGCGGUUGCUCCGGUGAAGUGCCAAGUUGUGCUGUUUGGCUGCAGACGAAGAAAAAUCUCAUUACCUGCUGCAGUGGCGGAUUGUAGCCCUGGAACUCUGGGAGCGAUGAUGUGAGGGGACAGUGCCAUGCACCCGAGGUGCCCCAAGCGAGGGUGUCGAGAGGUAGGUGCUGGGCAGUGGGCAACCCUGAGCCAUUUGCCUUGCAGAGAGGAGAGAGGCA